GGCGGCUUGCUAUACAUGCAAGUCGAGCGGACAGAUGGGAGCUUGCUCCCUGAUGUUAGCGGCGGACGGGUGAGUAACACGUGGGUAACCUGCCUGUAAGACUGGGAUAACUCCGGGAAACCGGGGCUAAUACCGGAUGCUUGAUUGAACCGCAUGGUUCAAUUAUAAAAGGUGGCUUUUAGCUACCACUUACAGAUGGACCCGCGGCGCAUUAGCUAGUUGGUGAGGUAACGGCUCACCAAGGCAACGAUGCGUAGCCUACCUGAGAGGGUGAUCGGCCACACUGGGACUGAGACACGGCCCAUACUCCUACGGGAGGCAGCAGUAGGGAAUCUUCCGCAAUGGACAAAAUUCUGACGGAGCAACGCCGCGUGAGUGAUGAAGGUUUUCGGAUCGUAAAACUCUGUUGUUAGGGAAGACCAGUACCUCUCCAAUAUGGAAGUACCUUGUCGGUACUUAACCCUAAAGUCACGGCUUAUCACAUGCCACCAUCCCCUCUAUUUCUUAUGUGGCUAUCCUUGUCCGGAAUUAUUGGGCCUAAAGCGUGCACACGCCUUUCCUUAUUCUGAUUUGAA
rnacentral:rRNA from 1 species